AUGGUCAGUCUGGCGUGGCUGUGGUCAGUCUGGCAUGGCCGUGGUCAGUCUGGCGUGGCUGUGGUCAGUUUGGGGGGUGGCCGUGGUCAGUCUGGCGUGGCCGUGGUCAGUCUGACGUGGCCGUGGUCAGUCUGGCAUGGCUGUGGUCAGUCUGGCGUGGCUGUGGUCAGUUUUGGGGGUUGCUGUGGUCAGUUUUGGGGGUGGCCGUGGUCAGUCUGGCGUGGCCGUGGUCAGUCUGGCAUGGCCGUGGUCAGUCUGGCGUGGCUGUGGUCAGUCUGGCGUGGCCGUGGUCAGUCUGGCGUGGCUGUGGUCAGUUUUGGGGGUGGCCGUGGUCAGUCUGGCGUUGCCGUGGUCAGUCUGGCGUGGCCGUGGUCACUUUCGGGGGGCUCACAGAGGCUCUCCCCCGUCCCCAGCGGUGCUGCGGGGGGUGCAGGGGCUGAUGGUGGCCGCCCUGCUGCUCUCGGCCCUCGGCCUCCUCCUCUUCCUCUGGCAGCUGCUGGGGGGGCCCCGCGGCCGCCUCUUCCUGCCCUCGGCCGCUGCCCAGCUGCUGGCAGGGCUGGCGGCGCUGCUGGCGGCCGGGCUCUUUGCGGCCGGAGGUGGCCGGGCCGGCGGUGGCCGCCCUGGGCACUGCCCGGUGCUGGCCGGGCUGGGGGGGGCCCUGGCGCUGGCCAGCGGGGGGGGGUACCUGCGCCUGCGGACACAGGAGUGAGCCGGACACACCGGCCACUGGCCACGCUCGCUGGACGAGAGCUCCCAGCCCAACCGAUGACGUCAUCGAUGGCCCCGUGACGUCAUCGAUGUGGGCGGUGACGUCACUGAUGCGGCCGGUGACGUCAUUGCCGGCGUGAGCGUGGCCAGUGACGUCGUCGCCGUGGCCGAUGACAUCAUCAACAGCAUCAGCGUGAGCCGUGACGUCAGCACCAAGAUGGGCGUGGCCAGUGAUGUCAAUGCCAGCGUGGCCAAUGGCCUCCCUGACGUAGCCAAUGACGUCAUCAGUGGGAUGGGUGUGUCCGGUGACAUCACCGGCAAGGCGUGCCUGGCAAAUGACCUCACCGAGGUGGCCGAUGACGUCACUGGCAGGAUGGGCGUGUCCGAUGACGUCACCGCGGGUGCCAACAUGACCAAUGACGUCACCGUUGUCAAUGACAUCAUUGCCGGGGGGGGGUCUCUGGGGGGGUCAGGGGUCACCCCAGGGCGCUGUGGGUGGUGGGGGGGGCAGGGGUCACCGUGGGUCUCUAUAGGGCACGCUGGGGUCUAUAGGGCACUGUGGGGUCUCUAUAGGGAGCUAUAGGGUUUCUAUAGGGUAGUGUGGGGUCUCUGUAGGGCACUGUGGGGUCUAUAGGGUGCUAUAGGGUCUCUAUAGGGUAGUGUGGGGUCUCUAUAGGGUGUUAGGGGUCUCUGUAGGGCACUGUGGGGUCUAUAGGGUGUUAUAGGAUCUCUAUAGGGCACUGUGGGGUCUCUAUAGGGUGCUAUAGGGUCUCUAUAGGGCACUGUGGGGUCUAUAGGGUGCUGUAGGGUCUCUAUAGGGCGCUAUAGGGUCUCUAUAGGGCACGCUGAGGUCUCUAUAGGGCACGCUGGGGUCUCUAUAGGGCGCUAUAGGGUCUCUAUAGGGCACUGUGGGGUCUCUAUAGGGCGCUAUGGGGUCUCUGUAGGGCACGCUGGGGUCUCUAUAGGGCACUGUGGGGUCUCUAUAGGGUGUUAGGAGUCUCUGUAGGGCACUGUGGGGUCUCUAUAGGGUCUCUAUAGGGCACGCUGGGGUCUCUAUAGGGGAUUUGGGGUCUCUAUAGGGUGUUAGGGGUCUCUGUAGGGCACUGUGGGGGUCUCUAUAGGGUCUCUAUAGGGCACUGUGGGGUCUCUAUAGGCCGCUAUGGGGCACUAUGGGGCACUAUAGGCCGCUAUAGGCCGCUAUGGGGCACUAUGGGGCACUAUAGGCCGCUAUGGGGUGCUAUGGGCCGCUGUAGGGCGCUAUGGGGCACUAUAGGCCGCUAUGGGGCACUGUGGGGCACUAUGGGGUGCUAUGGGGCGCUGUAGGGCGCUAUGGGGCACUAUAGGCCGCUAUGGGGCACUAUGGGGCACGCGGUCGCCACGCCCCUUCCCUCUCAGGCCACGCCCCUUCCCUCUCAGACCACGCCCCCUUCCCUCUCAGGCCACGCCCCCCGCUGGCGCCGCGCUGGGGAGGGGGCGGGGCCUCGCUGAGGGCGCGGCCAAUCAGACGCGGGCGCGCGGCAGCGGCGGGAGCCGUGGUGGGGAGCGCGAGCGCCCCCUGGCGGCCGCGCAGGAACGCGAAAAGGGCGGGAAAGCGCUGAGGGAAGCGAGGGAUGGGGGGGGAGGGGGAGAGACCUCUCGGGACCCCCAAAUUCCCCUGGGACACCCCAAACUCCUCCAAACCCUCCCUCGGGAGUCGCAGACACCCUCGGGACCCCCCAAGUCCCCUCGGGACUCCCCAGAUUCCCCCAGGAUGCCCCAAAUUCCUCCCUGGGCCCGCAGGCCCCCUUUGGACUCUCAUUGCUCCUUCGGGACCCUCCUCAGGUCCUGAAUGUGGGGCUCCCUAGUGGUGGGUGAGCCCCCGGCUCUGGGGUCUGGCCAUGGGGGGCUCCAUUCACCCCCCUCCCCUCACGCUGAGGGUCCCAACAUGGCGGAGGCUCAGCCCUCAGCCCUGGGGUCCCAUCAUGGUGGGGGUUCCCCAUCCCCUCACCCCCUUCCCCUCACCCUGGGGUCCCCCAUCAUGGCAGGGGGUUCUCCCCUCACCUUCCUCCCCUCACGUCCCCCUCAGCCUUGGGUGUCCUGUCAUGGUGAGGGGCUGCUCUUACCUCAUUCUGUGGGUGCCAUCAUGGCGGGGUUUCCCCUUUCCCCUCAUCCCCUCACCCCACCCUGGGGGUCCCUCACGCCUUUCCCCUCAUCUGGGGGGUCUCCCGUUCUGCUCGGCUCCUGUCCCUCCCGCCACUGUCGCGCUCACCCAAGCAUGGCCCUGGACUGGAAGCAGCUGCUGGACAGGUGAUUAACGGGGUUCAUUAGUGCGUGGCUGUGUGGGCAGUGGUGUGUAGCCUGGCCCUGUCCCCCCAGGUGUCCCUGUCCCCACCUGUCCCUCUGCCACUGCUUCUCCCUGUCCCUGGGGGUGUUUGUGGGGACUCUGGGGGGUACCUGGGUGGGGCUUAGAGAGGCUGAGGGGUUUUGGGGGUGCUCACAGGGGGCUUUUGAGGGUCUCCUGGGAGCUGUUAAAGGCUCGGGGGGGGGCCUGGGAGCUCCCGGUCUCUGUCACGAUCUGGCGACAGGCUCUGAACCACAAUGACCUCCGGGAAAGGAAGGGGGGGGGGGGGGGGAAUCGGUACCGGGCGGUGCCUGGGACCGGUACCGAAAGGGGCGUGGUCGGUACCGAAAGGGGCGUGGUCGGUACCGGAGGGGGCGUGUCCAGCCGCAGGGGGCGGGGCCGGGCCGGUGUGUCCCGGUGACCGGCGGCGGCAGCGGCGGGGAUGCGGCGGGGAGUGUGAGAGGUGAGCGCCGGGCGGGGACCACUCCCCACCGACCCCUCCCCUACAGACCCACCCCCGGGACCCCCCG
rnacentral:lncRNA from 1 species